UACAGAGGGGGCAAGCGUUGUUCGGAAUUACUGGGCGUAAAGGGUUCGUAGGUGGCCACUUAAGUCAGACGUGAAAUCCCUCAGCUUAACUGGGGAACUGCGUCUGAUACUGGGUGGCUUGAGUGCAGGAGAGGAAUGCGGAAUUCCAGGUGUAGCGGUGAAAUGCGUAGAUAUCUGGAGGAACACCGGUGGCGAAGGCGGCAUUCUGGACUGUAACUGACACUGAGGAACGAAAGCCAGGGGAGCAAACGGG
rnacentral:rRNA from 1 species